rnacentral:lncRNA from 1 species
GACACAGUUGAUGCAGAAAGUGGGGUACUUCCUGGCCAGAAUCCUUGUGCAGGCAUUCAAGGCUGCUUUGGAGACAAUAUAGGCAGAGAGAUAAGAGGGCCAGCUAUGAGCUUCUAAUAAUCCCUCUUUGAAAUCUUUUAGAAACUCUUUCAAAACCUCAUCCACCCUCUCCUCUGUAAGGUUUUGGGCAUCAUUUAAUACUCCCUUAGCCCAUUCAUUUAUAACAUUCUGCAACAACACAUCAAGAAAGGUAUUUCUCAAUUUGGAAACAGAAACUCCAGUUCUAAAGAAAGUAACUAUGGGAAAUGUUUCAUAAACUCUCUUCUCUAAUAUCUCAAAAAAUCCAUAGCUAACUUAACCUCUGGAGAGGGGUCGACCAAACUAGCCUCCCCACUCUUACCAGUUCCCAUCUAUUUGCAGUGAACAUGUGACCGUGUGAAGCCUGCGACUUGUCACCAAAGAAGAAGGCACAUUUAAUCAUCCACAAGAGAUGAUAUGUGCUUGUGAUUCAACUUUGUUGAAUUUCAAGUCAAAUUGCCCAGUGAAAAACUUGGUUGAACAUUUAAAGUGGGUGCCAACAAUCUAUUUCUGAAUGAGGGUUAAUGUUAUCUUUGUACCUUUAACUUCCCUGCAGAAGAGGAAACAUUAACGAUCCUUGGCGAAUCUGAUAGCUGGAGAAGGGGAGUAAGUGCUUCAAUGAUCCUCUUUGGCCCAUAAUAGUUUACUUUCAGGCAUUCUUCCGCCUGCUCGAAAGGCUCAAUCAUUAUUUCUUUCCAGUUGAUUUUUCCCAGUCCUGCCUGCAUUAUAGAAUAACAAAAAAACUCAAUCCCUUUGGUAGCCAUUACACUUCCUACUCCACCAACAAGAAAAGGAGAAGAGGAAAACCGUCUAUAAUUCCAGAGAUUUUCUUUUCAAGAAAAAGUAGAAGGAAAAUUCAACAUAAUGGGCAUUAAAAAUCUAAAUAUUGCUCUUUUUUCAACUUUUUAUAGGCUUUUCCCCAAAUAAAACAUAUGCACCCAAAGAAAGAACCUUUAUGUUGGGUGUUCUAUUCUGUAUACUUCUCCCAAUAAUCAUUUCAUGAAUGAUGUUUAAGCCUUCCCACCCCCAAGCAAAUUGCAUAUUUCUUUUUUGAAGUUCCAUCCACACUCACUACAUUUCAGGAAAGAAGGAAAUUGUACAUGGGAACUCACCUGAUCAGCAGCUACUGCUGAUCUGAAACCAUUAGGAUCUGUUACAAUUGUCCCAGCUAUCCCUGCAUUGUUCACCUGUCCAUCACUCAAACAUUUUUUGUUAUCAAAUUUUUAACAAUGUGUCAGUUUCCUUUUGAAGUUCUAAUCAAAGAGACAAAAGAAAAUGGCUACCUUCUCAAAAUAUCAAAAUCACCACAGACAUCCUAUCAAAAAGGCGACAACAUGAAAGCAAAAAUUGUGCUAUUGUGUAUGCUACACAAACCAUCAAUUCAGUGACUGUACAAGAACCCGGAAAAAAAGAAGGAAAAGUAAUCAAGAAAUGGGGGUUUCAACGAUACCAAGAUAUCAAGCUUCCCAAACUGGGUUUUGAUGGAGUCUGCAAGGGAAGCAAUGCUAGCAGGGUCCCCAACAUCAAGUUGAUGAAAACCCACAUUAGAGAGACCAGACCCCUUGAGAUUUUCAAGAGCUUCAACACCCAUCUUCUCAUUUCUAGCUGUUAACACCACUAUCACCCCAUUAGCAGCCAAUUGCCUACAUAUUUCCAAUCCAAUCCCUCUGUUUGCUCCUGUAACCACUGCAUAUCUGAAAUAGAAUAUAUAAGAAAAUAAGUAAAAUAGCUGUUGUAUAUGUGGCGAGAGAUUGUAAAAAGGGCAAGGAAGAAAAACCAAGUACCUCUUUGUUGCUUCAGCCAUUGUUUUUGAGAUGGGAAUUGUGUGUGGAGUAAGAAAAACUCGAGGGGAUUUCAGAUUUAUUUUAAGGUGUGAAAAAGAUUUGGCUUCUGGACAUUUAUCAUCAUAUCAAUUUUUACAAUCAAUGAGGACGAUUUUUUUCCUUUUGUAUUUUCUAUUUCCAGAAAAGUAAAUAGGGGAUUUAUUUCCUUAUGAUAUUGAUUGGAUAACUCACUAGUCAAAAUUGCUUUUGGAAACAAUAUGAAAUAGAAAACAUGUAAAUUAAACCAGAUUUGUGGCCUGCUAUUGAGGGUGGCAGAACAUGAAGAACAAAAAAAAAAAAAAAAAAAAAAACAGGGCAAGUGAGUGUGUGAUUUUGGGCUUGUAUUUGGGGUUUUACCUUGGAAAAUUGUUUUGGUAUUUUUGGUCUUGUAUUAUUGAUUGUGAAAUAGUGAAAACUAAUCCAUGGAUGUAGGUUGGUUUUGACCGAACCACAUAAACCUUUGUGUCUUGAUUAUCAUUUCUUUGGUGUUUGUGUGCAUAAGUUCUUCUUUGUUGUGUGGGUAGUUUUGCAGUUGCAAGGAGUUUGUGCAUUGUAUUGAGUUGGUUGAUUAUUUCUUCUUCAUAUUCCCAUAAUUGGUGUAGUGAACGUGGAAUUAUUGAAGAUGGCUACAACUAAGUUUGAGAUGCAACAAUUCAACAGCAAGGGAGACUUCAGCAUUUGGUUGUAGCAUAUGAGAGCAAUCUUGGUUCAACAAAAGGUUCCUCAAGCACUACAAGGAGAAAAGAACCUUCCAAGCACCAUGAUAGACACAAAGACGCUCAAAACGACAUAUAGCACUAUAUAUGAUCUUGUAUCUUAGUGACAGUGUUUUAAGAAGUGCAACAAGGAGACAACUAUAGUAGGCUUAUGGCUAAAGUUGGGGAGUCUUUAUAUGACAAAAUCUCUCAUGAAUCGGAUUUAUUUGAAGGUAAAACUAUUUGGGUUCAAGAUGCAGGAGGACAAGAAUCUUGAUGAGAACCUCGAUGAAUUCAAUAAGUUGGUUAUUAAAUAGGAGAACAUUGGAGAAAAAAUCAACGAUGAAAAUUAGACGAUCAUAUUAUUGAACUUGUUACCAUCAACCUACAGUCAACUUCGCGAUACCAUUAAGUAUGGUAGGGAUACAUUGUCCUUUGAUGACUUGGAAUCGGCUAUCAAGUCUAAAGGGAAUUGAGGGUAGAGAAAAAGACAAAUAGUCGCAACAAGCUCUUAAUGUUCGAGGUAGAAUGGAGAAAAGAGACAAAAAGAACAAAGGUAAAUCAAGAUCCAAAUUGUAGAGAAAGUUCAAGUGUUAUCACUGCAACAAGAAGGGUCACAUAAGGAGAGAGUGCCUUGAUAGGAAGAAAAAGUCAAAUGAUAAGCAGGAAUCUGGAGACACAUCAGUGGUGUUGGGUGGUUAUGAAUCAAUAAAGGUACUUGUUCACUCAACACAAGAUACUCAUAAAGAGUGGGUUUUAGACUUUGGGUGCUCAUUUUAUAUGAGUCCAAAUUAUGAGUGGUUUCAAACAUUCAAGGAAAUUCAUGGAGGGACCGUCUUACUUGGCAACAACAAGGCAUGUAAGAUAUGAAGAAUUGGAUCCAUUAAGUGUGAAUGUUUGAUGGUUGUAAUAGAGUGCUACAAAAUGUACAGUAUGUUCCAGAGCUUAGGAGAAAUUUAAUUUCUCUUGGGAUGCUUGAUUCGAUAGGUUGUUCUGUCAAAAUUGAAAACGGGGUGAUGAAAGUUGUGAAAAGUGCAUUAACCGUGAUGAUAGAGGUUCUUUCAAAUGGUUUAUACUCUUUUAUUGGUUCAACAGAAUAUGAAAUUACAUCAUCUGUUGUAAUAGAAUAUUAGGAUGACACAACGAAUAAGACUAUUUUAGCAAAUGGUGAGAAUUUCACAAUAGAACGCAAAAUCGUCUACAAAUGAGAGUAAUAAAUCUAAUUUAUGCCACAAGAGGCUAGGGCAUGUAAGUGAGAAAGGUCUAAAUGAGUUGUAUAAAAUGGGGCUGCUUGACAUAAAAAAAAAAAAAAAAACCCUCGGGAAUUUAGAGUUUUGCGAACAUUAUGUGUAUGGUAAAAGUCAUAGGGUGAAGUUUAGUAAAUCAAUGCAUACAACUCAAGGGAUUCUAGACUAUGUUCAUGCGAAUCUCUAGGGUGCAAUGCAAGUUCAAUCCCAUGAUGGAGGCAAGCAUUUUUUUUAUAUCUCAACAACACUAAAAGGAUGAUUAUCAAUUAGUAAGAGACAAGUAGAGAAGAGUUAUAAGACCACCUUAGAAGUAUGGUUAUGAAGACUUAGCAGCUUUUGCUUUUACAGUUGCUAGUGAGUCUCUAAAUCAAGAACUAGAAAGCUAUCAACAACCAAUGAGUUGUGAUGACAAAGAAAAAUGGUAGAAGGCCAUCGAAGAUGAAAUUGAAUCCUUAUAGAAGAACAAGACUUGGAUUUUGGUGGAGAAACCAAAAAAUAAGAAGUUUGUUGACUGUAAGUGGAUUUAAAAGAAGAAAAAUGUUAUACCAGGAGUAGAGAAAACACGACACAAUGCCAGGAUGGUUGCUAGAGGCUUUACACAAAAAUAAGGAGUGGAUUACACAGAGAUAUUCUCUUUAGUGGUGAAACAUAGUUCAAUCCAGAUUUUGCCAACUAUGGUGGCACAUUUUGACAUGGAGCUCGAGCAAAUGGAUGUCAAAACAAUGUUUUUUUAUGGUGAGAUUGAGAAGACUAUUUACAUGAGGCAACCUAACGGUUUUGAAAUUAAAAGCAAGGGAGAUAAGAUUUGUCUAUUAAAUAAAUCAUUGUAUGGUUUGAAACAGUUCUCUCGACAAUGAUGCUUUGAAAGAAGCCAAUUUAAUAAUUGUGAUUACUUCAAGAAGAAAUUAGGUGCUAGUAAUGUCUAUCUUCUAUUGUAUGUUGAUGACAUGUUGUUGGCAAGUUGUGACAAGGCAUCGAUUGAUGAUAUGAAGAAACAACUGAGAAGAAGAUUUGAGAUGAAGGAUUUGGGACCUACCCAAAGAAUACAAAUAGAAAAAGGAAGAAUUUUACUAAAAAAUGGUAUGUUAAUAAGGUGUUGGAGAGGUUUGGCAUGAGUCAAGCAAACCUGUUAGCACUCCACUAGCACAACACUUUAAAAUGACAAAAGAGAAUUCACCUAAGACUGAGAAAGAAGUCAAGUACAUGGAAGAAAUACCAUGUGCUAGUAUUGUUGGUAACAUCAUGUAUACAAUGGUAUGUAGUAGGUCGGAUUUGGCCUAUGCUGCUAGCAUGAUAAGUAGAUUUAUGUCAAAUCUAGGAAAGAAACAUUGGAAUGCAGUGAAAUGGGUCCUAAGGUUUUUGAAAGGAUCUACUGAUGUUGGAAUUCUUUAUGGAGGUGGAGCUGUUGGAGAGUUAGGUGUUGUUUUAGGUAUGUAGAUUCUGAUUAUAUAGGAAGUGUGGACACAAGGAGAUCUUUGACAAGAUAUGUUUUCACAUUGUUUGUUGGAACUAUAAGUUGGAAGUUAGUCUUCAAUCCAUGGUGAUUCUAUCCUUGAUUGAAGUUGAAUAUGUAGCUCUUACAGAAUCUUUGUGGGUUAAGGGGAUAAUUGGUAAGCUAGGGUUAGCACAUAAGAUAUUGACAGUUUAUUGUGAUAAUCAAAGUGCAAUUUGCUUGACAAAGAAUAUCAUAUUUCAUGAAAGAACGAAGCAUAUAGAUGUUUCCUAAGAGAUGUGAUGUCGAAAUGUGAAGUUCUGGUUGAGAAGAUUCAAAUGGAUGACAACCCAACUGAUAUAUUGACGAAGACAUUGGCAACUAUCAAGUUCAAGCAUUGCUUGAGCUUGAUAAAUAUUUUGGGCAGUUGAGAGAAGAUGGAGUAGCAGCAGUUGGAUGAUGACUUCGAAGCCAAGUGGAGAUUUGUGAAAAAGAUUUGGCUUUUGAACAUUUAUCAUCAUACCAAUUUUUACAAUCAAUUAAGAAGAUUUUUUUUCCUUUUGUAUUUUUUGUUUCCAAAAAAGUAAAUAGGGGAUUUAUUUCCUUAUGAUAUUGAUCAGGUAAGUAAUUAGUCAAAAUUGCUUUUGGGAAAUAAUAUGGAAUAGGAAACACGGUGUAAGUCAAACCAGAUUUGUGGCUUACUAUCGAGGAUGGCACAACAUGAAGAAGAUAAAAAAUAAAAUAAAAUAAUAAUAAUAAUAAUAAUAAUAAUAAUAAGGCAAGUGAGUUUGUGAUUUUGGGCUUGUAAUUUGGGGUUUUACCUUGGGAAAUUGUUCUUGUAUUUUUGGCUUUGUAUUAUUGACUGUGAAAUUGUGAAAACUAUUGCUACAAUCCAUGGAUGUAGGUCGGUUUUGACCGAACCACAUAAACCUUUGUGUCUUGAUUAUCAUUUCUUUGGUGUUUGUGUGUGUGAGUUCUUUGUUGUGUGGAUAGUUCUGCAGCUGCAAGGAGUUUGUGCAUUGAAUUGUAUUAAGUUGGUUGAUUAUUUCUUCUUCAUAUUCCCACAUAAGGAUUGUUUACAUUUUCAACUUUGAUAUUUCGUGAUUAAGUGUAAUGAUUAAAGAGGAUUGGUCAGGAAUCUACAUAGAAAAGGGUUAAGCUUGGACAAGAUAUCCUGAACUUCUUCUUGGAAGGAAUCUGACGGAGAAAACUAGGGAACCCAAGAACCAAAACAAAUUAAAGAUGUUGAGCCAAAAGAAGGGAGAUGAACUUUCCCUCAACAGGCUUCUAACAUUUAUUUCAAUUCUAAGAUAUAUUUGAGUUCCAUGAAUUAGCAGAGAGAAAAAAUAAUGCAUAUUGUUGCGAUAGCUUUAUAUGAAAUCAUUACUAUUUUAGGAUUGAAUUUUAUAUUUAAUAUUUUUAUUUUAAAUUAUUUUUAUUAAAAAAUAAGAAUAAUUUUCAUUUAAAAAAAAAUUAAAUUAAAUAAAUUUUAUUUAAUACAAGUCUUAAAAGUCUUGAAGUGUUUAUAGACCUUUCUUUAAGUAUUUCAACAUAAAUAAAUAAAUAAAUUUCAAAACUCAUUCUCUAGAUGUCAUUUGUUUUCCAAAUUAAAAAAUAUUAAUAGCUUAUUCUAUUUUGUAUUCCGAUUAACAUCUUCCAUAUUUAUUUAUUUAUUUAGUAGAUUUGCAAAUUGAUGAUUAUACUCAUCUAUUGCUCUUUAUUGAUUUUAUAAUUUUAAAACUAUUAUGAUGUAUGAAAUUUUAUUUUGAUUAUAAAAAAUUUUAAAAACCAACAUGAAAAAUAUUAAAGUUUGUCUUCCAUGUCAUUGAAUUGCACAAAAAUAUAUUUUCACAUGUGUUUCUCACUUUCUCAUAUUCUAAUAUAGCCCUCAAUUAUUAGUUUACGAGCAUCAUACAUAAUUUAAUUAGUAAGAAAGAAGAAGUAAAAAAUAAAAAUAAAUCAAAUUUAAUAAUUUUCUUUUACAUUCUUGUAUAAGUUUUUAAGAUUUUUCUCUUUAUAUUUUAUUUUAUUUUUCUUCUAUUUGUUUUAGAUCUUCAUAAAUAUUUUUUUUUUAUUGCUUGCAUUAUUUAAACAGAAUGUCACUAUAGCUAAUUUGAUCAAUUGAAUGCUAAUUAAGAAUAUCAAAUUUAUUAUAGUAAUUAGUAAUUAUUAUUAUUAUUAUUAUUAUUAUUAUUUUGUAAUAUUUUCAAAAGAAUAAAUAAACUAGUCAAUGUGUAUGUUAAUUAGACUUCAAAGCAUUAAUCACUUGAAUGUCAUUUUUACAUUUGGUCUUUUUUGUUUGAGGAGCUUAUUAUAUAUAGAUAAUUAUAAACUUUUUUCUCUAACCAAUAUGAGAUAUCACAAUCAUACUUUGGUGUAGGUACAGUGUCUUCAUUGUGUUUUUUAUGGGUUAGACAAUUAAUGCCCCUUACAAAGCUAGAUAAAUUGACUUAUAUGCUUUCGUCAAGGAUCAUCUUUAAAAUCAUUUCUAACAAUAAACUUCCUCUCCUAUAAAUAUUAUUUGUUUUAAGUUAUGAAAAUCAAUCUUUGACUCCAAUGCAAGGUUGUAUACGACCAUGUAAUCUCAUGAAAUAUGACAAGAAUGUUAUGUUUAUAUGAGAAGGGAAGAAAUGAUUGAAAUAUUUUACAUCAAUUGGGAGAAGAUGUUGACAUUAUGUAUGUAGUAGAUUUUUUUAAUUAUAUAAACAUAUUUUAAAAUCAUAAGGGUCUACUAAGAAACAACAAAUAUGUAAUAUCUACAUGAAAAUGAUCACAUUGUUAUAAAUCGACAAAGUCUAUAUUUGAUACCAAUGUAAGGCUUUGUUUAUCUAAUCCCAUAAGGGGUGCAUGUCUCUCUAUCUUUUCCUACAAUCCUAAAAGACACAACAGUGACAUUACAUAUACUCCUCUUCAUGUCUGUGUGAAGAGGUAAUUGUGAUGAUAAAUAUUGAAUAGGGAGAGUUCUCGUUACUACAUUUAUAUAAUAUGUUCUUCUUAAUUAAUAUGUAGAUACAUUUUUAAAAAGUGGAUCAAGAUGUAUAAUAUCUAAAUAAAAGGUAGUAUAUAAUCAUUUCAUUUACUUGGUGAAGUCCUAGAAUUAUAACUUUAACUAACAAUAAAAAUAAAAGAUUAGACUCAACCAAUUCACAAGUUAUUCGUGUCACUAGCUGGCCAAAACCAUCACUUUAAGAGCCAAAUGAAUGAACCAUCAAAACCAUAAAAUAUGACAUUAUUGGUUUAUUUGAUAUUGUUUUCAAAACUUGCCCUUGAAUUUUAUAAUUGGUUUCUCUACUUAUUCUUCAUGAAAGUAGAAUGUAUUUAUAUAUAACACAAAAAUUGCUAAAAUAUUCUCUAUUUUUUCAAUUGUUACUCAUAACAUUUUAGAAAACAGCUCAAAUUUGUUCCAAAUUAAUAAGCACCUUCUUUUCUGAACAAGUAAAAAAAGAAGGAAAAAACACUAUUUUCCUGCAUAUGUAAGAUCACAUACCAUUAUGUGCUUAUAAAGACAUUCAUGCAAACUAUAUGAGAAGUAAUAGACAGUCAGUAUGCUAUGAUGUUCUUACUUCAUAUCUCGUAAUGAAGCAUUUUCAUUUAAAAUUCAGUCACUUCCUUCCGAGAAAAGAAAUGGCCAGAAGGGCCCCCAUCAGGCAACAGAGCUAAUUUCACCGGGCAUUCAGCACCUUCUUCAACAGUUAAGAUGCCAAUGUUGUCGUUGAAAUCUGUUUUGACAUAGCCAGGACAGACACAGUUUAUGCAGAAAGCCGGAUACUUGGUGGCCAGAAUCCUUGUGUAUGCAUUCAAGGCUGCUUUCGAGACCGUAUAUGCAGCGUAAAAAGCAGACCAGUUUUUAGCUUCUAAUAAUCCCUCCUCGAAAUCUUUUAGAAACUGGUUCAACACCUCAUCCACUCUCUCUUCCGUAAGGUUUUCAGCAUCACUUAACACUGCUUUUGCCCAUUCAUUCGUAACAUUCUGGAACAACACAAGAAGAAAAGUAAUGUAAGUUGGGAAGUGCUUGAUGGACUCCCUCUUAAUCAUUCCCAGGAGACCAUUUUCUGGUUGGAAAUGAAAGAAAAGAAGAUCGAAUGAUUCACAGAAACAAAAGGCACUGUCAAUCAACCCUUUUCUUCCAAACAAACCAAGAUGUGUAACGAAAAAUUCAGUAUAUGUCAAACCAAAAUCAUGUGGUUUCGAUUCAACUCAUGUCUAGUUGCAAACAUGGUUGAAUAAAGUAGAUAUAUAUUGUAAUAUCCGGGUUUUUAAAGACCCGUCAGAUUCUUAAAGUAUAAAGUCUUUCAUAAAAUUAUGGGUCAAAUAGUCAAAAAGAGUAGUGAAGAUCUACGUAUUAAUAUUUAAUUGGGAAAGAUUUUGGAAAAAUUAGUCAAAAAUCAAUAGUUUGAAAAUUUUGUCACGUCAAACAUUAGAAAUUAAAUUUAGAUUUGGAGAAAAAUUUAACCAUCAAAUAAUUGAGAUUAAGUUUUGAAAUUUUGAAUUUUAAGUAUGUUACGGGAAUUAAUUUAAUUAUUAUUUAAUAAUUAUCAAAAAAUCAUAGUAAGAAAAACUUUGUAAAAAUUUAUAUUAUAUCAAAUUGUUAUAAUAGAUAAUUAAAAAGAAAUUUAAUUUAAUUUUGUAACGAAUCAAUUUAAUUCUUAUAAUUAAAAUUAAACUUUAUAGAAUUACAAAACAUUAAACAGAGUUAAAUUGAAAUUAAAUUAUGAUAUGUGAAUUUGGAAAAGAUAUACAAAAGGGGUAAGUUAAUUAAAUGUGAAUUUUAUGAAUUUAACUUUUGAAAUUUUGAUGUGAUUUAAUAAUUUGACAAAUGAAGUAAAUUAAAUAAAAAUUAUAUCAAAGGGUUAAAAAAUUGAUUUUUAUAAAUUGAAUGACUAAUUAAUUUAUGAAAUUAAGUUUUAGAAUAUUACUUAAAUUUUUGUUGGUAAAUAAAUACUGGUAAAAUUAAUGGGUUAAGGGUUAUUACAAAUUUCAACUUCUUUGUUGCCAAAAAAAAAAUUUUAUAUUUUCAAUAUUUUAUGGAAUUGAAUUUUGUUAAUAGUUAAUUAUAUUAUGUUUUAAGUGAAUUUUAGAGUAGAAAUAUUUUAGGUAAUUAAAGUCAAAUUAUAUUUUUUUCAAGAGUAGGCUUGUAGUAAAUUUAAUUGCAAAUACGAUAAUAUUUUUCUUGAGACGGAAAAUUAUAAGUUAAGUGUAAUUUAUAAUUGUGAAGUGUGAAGUAAAUAAUGGUAGUUUAAUUUAUUAUUAAAAGAAAGGAAUGGGGAGGCAGGUGCAGGGGAGAUGCAGGGUCCACGUGUCUCCAUCUAUCCGACAGUGAAAUGACCUUCAAUCGUAAUGAAAUUUCAGACGAUGAUAAUCUUCAACGUGGUGAACACUUCUAUAGAGUUGAAUUUUCAAUCCCAUGGUUGGAUUUUACUAUAUAGGUAGGGAUGUGUUUUUCCUAAAUUUCUCUCGAGUUUUUUUGAACUUUUAUUUACUUUCAAAAAACUUCAUGGAAAUGAAUUAAGCAACUAAAAUUUGGGAAUUUGAAAUUCAAAUUCCCUAUCUUCACCUAUAAAUAGAGGUGUCUUCGAUCAAGAAGGAGAAAAUUGAGGAAUCAGAAAAAUCCAGAAAGGAAAAUCCAAGGAGAAAAUCCAAAGGUAACUUCGUACGGGAAAAGGGGUUUCACAACAAAAGAAGCUUCAUCAAAUCUCCCUAUAAGUUCGGUAAAUGGGAAAAAAAAAAAAAAAAGAACUGCUACACACGUUCUUUGUCAUUCAAUAAGGUCAUUCGGGAAUAAACCACUUGUGGCCCUCGAUUGAUCUUCGAAAUCAAAAAAACGUCAUCGUCAUCUUCCAAAGUGUGAUCAAAGUAAAAGAAUUAGAGGGAAAAUAUUCUUUUAGAAAGAAUAUUAUUUUUCUGAGAUUGUACCCACAAUAUAUUUUUAAUUUCAAUAAAUAUUUUGUUCACAUUAUUUUCCUAUUUUGUUUUGCUAAUUUGGCAGGACCAAAAUUUAAGCAAUUUGUGCGUACAAUUGGUUUUGGAAAAAAUAAAAUAAUAUGUUAUAAUAAAUCUUAAUUUAAUAAGUUUAUUUAGGAUUAGACGCUUUAAUGAAAAAAAAAAAAAAACAAGGUGUUUUGAUUGAUUGCCAACGUGGAUAGGAAUAACCAAUGUUUUCAAAAUCGGACCGAUCAUUGAACCGAAAAACCAGACCUAUCAUUGAACCAGAAAAGUUACCAGUUCACAAUUCUCUAGUCGAAUCGUGGUCAAACCAAUGACGUCAUAAAUAUAUAAUUUAUAAAUUAUUAAAUUUUAAAAUAAUUAUAAAAAAAAUAAUAAUUUAUAGAUUAUUUAAAAAUUAAAAUUUUAUUUGAAAAUCAAAAAAUUAGUUUCAAAUUUAAAAUUUAAAUUAAAAUCAUAAUUUUAAUUUACAAUUUUAAAAUUCAUUUUUAAAUUAAAAAAGAAAACUUAUUUUAAAAUCAGAAAUUGAUUUAAAAUUGUAAUUUUUUAUUAAUUUAAAUUAAAAUCAUAAGUUUUAAACAUGAAGUAAAAAAAUAAUAAAUAUAUAAAUAAAUAAAUAAUAUAGAGAUGAGACAAAAAAUAAUAAUUUUAAAAAUAAAUAAAUCUGGAAGAAGGGAUGAGAGGGUCGGGCAAAAAGAUGAUACUUUUUCCAUUGUGGGGGUUCCAAUGGGGGUCGCUAGGAGGGGGGGGGUUUCCUCCAGCAGCAGCACGAGGUGGGGGGNNNNNNNNNNNNNNNNNNNNNNNNNNNNNNNNNNNNNNNNNNNNNNNNNNNNNNNNNNNNNNNNNNNNNNNNNNNNNNNNNNNNNNNNNNNNNNNNNNNNGUUUGGGGGGUGGGGGGAGAAGGGGGUUGGCUUUUCCAACGUGGGGUGUGGGCGAGGGUUCUUGGGGGUAGCAUGGGGGAGUGGGGGGUUGGUUUCCACCAACAGUAGCACGGGGUGGAGGGAUGGGGAAGGGGGUUCCUACAAAAUAAGGGAAUGACCUUUUCCAAUGGGGGUUGUGGGGGGGGUUUUCUGGGGAUCACAAAGGAGAGUGGGGUCCAGCCUCCACCAACAGUAGCAGGGGGUGGGGGUGGGGGAGGGGGUUUCUAGCAAGGUCGUGGAAGGACGGGGUUUCCAGCACGGGCGUGUGUUCCGACGAGCAAAAAAGAGAAGCUUUUCCAACGCAGGGGUCUUGCGGACGGGGGCCGACGACAAUGGGAGGAAAAAAAUAAUUUUAAUCAAACCCAUCGGUUCGAAGAGAACUGGACGGUUCGUCCAAUUUACCGGUUGGAUCGCCGGUUCAAACGGUCCAACCCCAGUUCAAUGCCAUUCCAGUCCAAUUGACCGGGCCGGACCGGAACCGUGACCAGCCGACGGUCGAACCAGUCGGACUGGCUGGUCCAAUCCGAUUUUUAAAAUCAUGGGAAUAACCCUUAGGGUCAAACCUUUGACCUAUGGUCACGAGUUGAGUUGUGGGUUACCCCGAAGCUAGGGCAUGACAUAUAUAUAUACCAACAUUUUUAUUUCUAAAUUGAAUGAGGGUGGUUGGUGUUAUGUUGUACCUGCAACUUCCCUAGAGAGGAGGAGACGUUAACAAUCCUUGGUGAAUCUGAUAAUUGGAGAAGAGGAAUGAAAGCUUCAGCCAUCCUCUUUGGCCCGUAAUAGUUUAUUUUCACGCAUUCUUCCGCCAGCUCCAAGGGCUGAGUCAUUAUACCAUGCCAGUUGACUUGUUCUCCUGCCUGCAAAACAAAAUGAAGAAAAUCUCAAUCUUCUCAGUAGCCAUUCGGAGAAGAAGAAAACUGCUUCUGGUACAUAUAUAACGAGAUUUUCUCCCAUAAUUCUAGAAAAAUUUUCUUUCUUUAAAAUUGUAUAUGAAAACUUAUCUCGGUAGCAGCAACUCCCGAUUCUAAAGCAACAGGAUCCUUUACAAUCGAUCCACUCAUCCCUGCAUUGUUCACCUGUCCAGUAUCCCAAGAAUUAUUCAGCUCCAAAAUUUUCAGGAAUCAUUGGGGAAUUCAUUGGGAAAUCCAUCUCACAAAACAUAUAUAUAUAUAUAUAUAUAUAGAUGAGCACAAUCUAAAGUACCGGAAUUCACAGCUAAAAUUCUUCUUAGGUACUGUUUUCGUGGAUGUGAGGAGGAUAGUUGAUACGGGAGAGAAUCAAAAUAAACAUCACUCAAUCAUAUAGGUUACGAAUGCAAUGUUCUAAAUGAAUUGCCAGAAGAAGAACCAAUAAAACAAAAAAGAUGGAAAAAAAAAAUCAUCAAGAAAUGAUCAGGGUUUCAAUCUUACCAAGAUAUCAAGCUUCCCAAACUGGGUUUUGAUGAAAUCUGCAAAAGAAGCAAUACUAGCAGGGUCCCCAACAUCAAGCUGAUGAAAAACCAGGUUAGAGAGACCAGAUCCAUUGAGACUUUGAAGAGCUUCAACACCCCUCUUUUCAUCUCUAGCUGUUAACACCACUCUCACCCCACUGGCGGCCAACUGCCUACAUAUUUCCAACCCCAUCCCUUUAUUUGCUCCUGUAACAACUGCAGACCUGAAAUUCAAUACACUAGAAAAAUAAGAAAACCAGUUGUUAUAUAUGUGCUUGCAGAUUGUGAAGAGGGGACAUGGGAGAUCAACCAAGUACCUUGUUAUUGCUUCAGCCAUUGUCUGUGAGAUGGUAAAGUUUGAUUAAUUAAUUCACUCUUAUAGCAAGAAUGCUGCUAAAGUUUUCAACAUUGAUAUUUUGAUAGGAAAUUGACGUUUGCGGUCAUAAAAGCAAGGCAGAUGAUUUUCUGGAUAGAGAUAAGACGCAUGUGGUCAUAAAAGACGCUCAUGUAAUAAUAAAGAUUGAUUUUUUUUCAUAUAGGAAAAUGACAUUGUGACAUCAUGGAUGACGCUUUGGAUAGUAAACUACGUCUAUGAUGUCACUAACGACGUUUUUUACAAGUUUCAACCAAUGAAACAUCAUUAAUUUAAUUUUUUUUAAUCAUGUCAUGUGGUCAUAUAUAAAAGCAAGCACAAUAUUAUUAUUGUAAUGAAAAUUGAUAUUCUUAUAUUAUAUAAUCCAAUGACUAAGUCAAAAAUUAAAUUAGACGGUUGGUUUUCAUUUCUUAUUUUUUUGUGGUACUCAUGAUUGAAUAUAAAUAAAUUUAAUACUAGUUUGAAUUGUUUAAAAAAUAAAACUUAAAAAGAAAAUGGUGUUUCAUAAUUGUAUAACUGUUUUGAGAAUUGUUAUAUGAUGUAAGUAUAUAAUCGUUUUAAAAUUUUUGAAAUAUGGUUUUUUUAGAAAAAAUAUGAAAUGUUUUUCAAUCAAAUCAUUUUUAUGGGUUAUUAUUAAAUAUAAUUGAGAUUAUGACAAGCACGUAUUUGAGAUUUUUUUUACAUUCAAAUUCUUAGAUAUAAUCAUGUUAGAAUUAUUUUUAAGAAUAGUUAUUAAUAAGAUAAAAAUCCCUAAAAUUUUCUAUUAUACUAAUUAAAAAAAAAAACUCCUUAUUGUAAGGUCAGUAAAUAAGAAAUUGACUAUAAUUUAAAAAAAUAAAAAAUCUUCUAUUUAAAAAAGAACAAUUUGGUUUUAGAACAAAUACUGAUAAAAACUAGUUUCAAUUGUUCAAGAAUCCAAGAUCACAAGUCAUUAUGCAGUUAGAAAGACAUUCCAACAUAAAAAUUAGUCACCCUACAAAUCUAUGCUCACAUGCCAUAUGUACUAACAAAGCAUUCUAGCAUAAAAAUUAAUCAUAAGCAACCUGGGAUUCAUACAAAUUAUAGAGAAGCCAUAAACAGUAUCUCUGUGCUAUGAUGUUCUUAGUUCAUAUGUAGUAAUGAAUCUUUUUCAGUUAAAAUUCAGACACUUCCUUCCGAACGAAGAAUUGGCCGGAAGGCCCCCCAUCAGGCAGCAGAGCCAAUCUCACAGGGCUUUCAGCACCUUCUUCGAUAGUUAAGAUGCCACUGUUGUAGUUUAGAUCUGUUUUGACAAAGCCAGGACAGACACAGUUGAUGCAAAGAGUAGGACACUUCCUGGCCAGAAUCCUUGUGUAGGCAUUCAAGGCUGCUUUUGAGACUGUAUAGGCAGAGACAUUAGAGGGCCAGCUUUUAGCUUCUAAUAAUCCCUCUUUGAAAUCUUUUAGAAACUGGUUUAAGACCUCAUCCACCCUCUCUUCUGUAAGGUUUUCAGCAUCACUUAACACUGCUUUUGCCCAUUCAUUCUUAAUAUUCUGGAACAACACAAAAAAGAAAAUUAAUGUAAGCAAAAAUACGACUUGGGGAAAUGCUUCAUUGACUCCCACACAAACAAAAGGCAACAGCCCUUAAUCAUUCACAGCAGAUGAUUUCCAGGAAAAUAAGCAAGUUAUGUGCAUUAUAUAAUAGUAUGCAUUACCUCAAUAUUAUUAAUUACACUUACCAAACAGCAUCAAUCAACCCUUUUCUUCAUAUGGUUUUCUUCUAAACAAAUCAAGAUGUGACAAGUAGAUCUUCCAUCACCAAUCUAAAGUUCAAUAAGCUUACAAAAAUAUUUUGCUCUGUUGACUCAAUCAAGGCAUCUUUUGAGUGGAGCUGUAAUGAAAAAUUCACAACGAAACUUGAUCCUUCCAAGUUUCAAACUGAAUCAUUUGGCUCCAAUCCAACUCUACUGAAUUUCAUCAAAUUGCCCAAUUACAAACAUGGUUGAACAUCUUAAGUAUAUAUCAACAUUGUAUUCUGAAUGAGGAUUAGUGUUAUUUUGCACCUGCAGCUUUCCCAUUGAGGAGGAAACAUUGACAAUCCUUGGCGAAUCUGAUAACUGGAGAAGAGGAAUGAAAGCUUCAAUCAUCCUCUUUGGCCCAUAAUAGUUUAUUUUCAGGCAUUCUUCCACCAGCUCGAAAGGCUCAAUCAUUAUUUCCUUCCAAUUGACUUUUCCUACUGCCUGCAAAAUAAAAUGAAGAAAAUCUCAAUCCUCUUGGUAGCCAUUAUAUUCCCUACUCCAACAUAAAAAGAGAAGAAGAAAACUGCUUCUGGUAUGCAACAAGAUUUUCUUCCAUAAUUCUAGUUUCUAGAAAAGAUUUUCAUCUUCCUUUCAAGAGAAGGUAGAAGAAAAACUCAACAGCAUGGGGCCUUAGAAGUCUAAAUGUUGCUCCUUUUCAACUUUCAAAUAUACCCCAAUGGCUAUUAGAAUUUCAAAUCCACUCUUCUUUGAACUUACAACCACAAUCAAUUGCUUUAAGCCAAUAAAGAAAUUGUGUAUGAUACCUUACCUCAGCAGAAGCAUAUCUUGACCUUAAAGCAUCAGGAUCCGUUACAACCGUUCCACCUAUCCCUGCAUUGUUCACCUGUCCAGUAUCACACAUUUCUAUUAUCCAAUUUUUAACUAUAAAAGAACAAAAAAAUAAAGAAAUAAAAAGAAAGUUAUUAGAUACCUUCCAGCUAUUUAGAGGUCCUCCAUUCCUCAAGAAAUAUUCACUUCAAAAAUUUUCAAAGAAUCAUGGUGGAUAAGGAGAGAUUUGUUUUCUCAAGUGCAAACAUAUAUGGAAUUCAUUGGCAAAUCCACCUCAUAAAAGUUUAUGCAACUCCAUAUGGAUUGAUGGAUAUAAAAAAGAGAGAAAAUGAUGGAACCGAGGAGAGUAAAUAGGGCACUGGUUUAUAGUGGAAUAAGUAUAAUGAUAUACAAUCUGGACAUUACACAAUACAAAAAUUCUACUUGUGGGAACGGUCAAACCAAAGGACACAUGUUAUACGAAGAGACACGAGUCAUUUGGCGAUAGGGAUUUCAAUGGCAAUGACCUAGAAUGACCGCCCUGCUUUGAGGCAACCAUUGCAACAAGAUGUGAACCUUUCCCCUCUUAGGAUGGCAGACAUUGCAUCUAUUGUGACGAGAUAAACAAUAAAUGCUAUUAACUCCUCCUACAUUGCAUCAGAAGAACCUUCAACAUAAAUUAUGAAGCUAUGAUAGUUAAUCAAGGACAAGAUUAGGUGAUCAAUCACUCAGCUAUAGAAUGGAGCAGACAGCUCAAUAACUGGUGGGAUCAGACCCACCAAAUCAGUGCAACCCUGAAUGAUAUAAAGACCCACAAGGGAAGGGGGAUUUCUCUAUUUUGAAUUCCUUCUCUUACCAAUUUAUCUAUUUAAGCCCUUGAGAUGCCCAUCAUCGACUUGAUCCUCAGAAAAGAAUUGACCUAACUGGCCUCCCCACUCUAACCAUGCAUUUUAGUGUUAUAGAGGAAGGCUCAUCAAUAAGAAAGGUUAGCAACUUGCUUGGAGGGUGAAACUCUACUCAGACAGAAAACUUUAGUUUUUAACAUGGACUAUGUAGCAUAUAUUUGGAUAAGGUUAUGCUCCAAUCUCCACUGCUAGCAAAAAUAGGGGCACAACCUCAAGGACCUGACUUCCCAGCUAGAAUUCUUCUUAGGUACUGUUUUUGUGGAUGGGAGAGGAUAGUUGAUAUAGAAGAGAAUCCAAAAGAAACAUUAGUCAAUCAUAUACGUCACAAUUUCAAUGUUUCUAGCGUAUUUCUCUCCAGUAAACCGAGGCCCUUCUUUCCUCACAUAGAACAACAACAAAAGGUUCUCCAUUUUGGUGGUUGCUUCAGAUAAAGUGGUCUAUCACAGUACAAAAGACAUGCCAAUUGAAGGCAAAUGGGAAAUUUGCUAUCUUAAAAAAUCAUCAUAAUCAUUGAAAUUGUCAGAGACAUUCAUAAACAUAUUCUCAGAAAAGGGGGAAAUUGAAAGGAAAAUUUUGGGUAAAUUGGGUAUGCUGUAAAUCAUCAAUCCAGGAGUAUCCAAGACUUGUGAUUGCCAUAAGAAGAACCAAUUAAACCAGAGAAAAAAAAAAAGGAAAAAAAUCAUCAAGAACUGAGGGUUUCAAUCUCACCAAGAUAUCAAGCUUCCCAAACUGGGCUUUGAUGAAAUCUGCAAUGGAAGAAAUACUAGCAGGAUCCCCAACAUCAAGCUGAUGAAAAACCAGAUUAGAGAGACCAGAUCCUUUGAGACUUUCUAGAGCUUCAAGACCCCUCUUCUCAUCUCUAGCUGUUAACACCACUCUCACCCCAUUGGCAGCCAACUGCCUACAUAUUUCCAACCCAAUCCCUUUAUUUGCUCCCGUAACAACUGCAUACCUGAGUCACACCCAAUACACAAGAAAGUAAGAACAACAGUUGUUUUAUAUGUGGUUGGAGAUUGUGAAAAGGGCCAUGGGAUAAAAACCAAGUACCUUGUUGCUGCUUCAGCCAUUGUUGAUGAGAUGGGUACUGUGUUUGAAGUGCGGAAGAAGAUGGAAUUUUUGUUUCAUUGCAAGGUUUGUUGUACUAAAAACAAGAGCAAUGAAGAUUAUUGUAAUGCAUUCGAUUGAGACAGAAAUUACAAUUUACAAGUAGAGUUGUUGUUCCCUUUCUUAUUUUUUGUGGUACUCAUGAUUGGAUAUCGACAAAUUUAACAGGCUUUAGUUUGAAUUGUUUGGCAAAUCAAACUUGGUGUUUGGUAAUUGUUUCUAAAACUGCUAUACUAUAUAACCAAUUUUUUUGAUAAUUCAUUUUAAAAAUAUAAAGUUUUUUAAAAUAGAUUUAAUAUAUUUUUUUUAUCAUUUUGUGUAAAAUAUUAUUAAAAAUUUACCUUUGAUUUUUCAAACACAAUCUUAUUUUAAUUAUUUUUUAAAAUUAUUCUUGAUAAAAAUAAAAUAAAAAUAACAAGCCUUAAAUUUUUUUAUUAUACAAAGUCUAAGGUUAAUUAUAAAUUUAGAUAAAAAAAAUUUCCUACACAAAACAAAGACUUUUAAAAACAAGUAGUAGACUUGGAAGAAAAAAGGAAAAAAUGAAAUUCUAUUUCAUAUAUUAUGAAAGCGUGGGCCUUUUUAUAAUUAUUUCAUUUAUUAUGAAAAUGAGUUUCCUAAAUAUUCCCUUAUAUUACCCAUGUGAUAGAUGGUUUCUCUUCUCAAUUAUUUUGGAUAUCUUUUUAAUUACUCUCUAAUUUCAAAUUAUUUGACAUUAACGAGUUCAACAAGACAAAUUGAAGUUUUGCCCUUUCAAUAUAAGUCCUUAAUUUGAAUUAACUUAUGCAAUUCUUUGAAUAUUUACAAUAUAUAUAUAUAUAUAUAUAUAUAUAUAUAUAUAUAUAUAUAUAUAUAUAUAUAUAUAUAUAUAAGGGUUUGACUUUGACAAACUCUUAUCUCCCUGCCCUUUGCACCUUACCCCUUGAGGAAUCUAUGGGAAAAAAACAAGACACUUGUAAAAAAUAAAACAAUACAUGAUUUAAAUUUAGAACAAGACAGAUGUUGACUCUUCAACAUUUUAAUAGAUAACGAAUUUAUUAUAGGACAAGUUCCAAAAAAUUAAUCAGUUUAUAAAUUUAUUAUAAUCUAAACCUAAUUUUUUAGCAUACAAACCACACCCAAGUUUCUAAAUAUGUAUGUGGUCAUAAAAGCAAUUGCAAAUGCAAGGCAGAUGAUGACGCUCAUGUGAUAAUGAAGAUUGAUUUUUUUCAUAUAGGAAAAUGACAUUGUGACAUCAUGGAUCACGCUUUGGAUAGUAAACUGCGUCUAUGAUGUCACUAAUGACGUUUUUUACAAGUUUCAACCAAUGAAACAUCAUUAAUUUAAUUUUUUUAAUCAUGUCAUGUGGUCAUAUAUAAAAGCAAGCACAAUAUUAUUAUUGUAAUGAAAAUUGAUAUUCUUAUACGAUAUAAUCCAAUGACUAAGUCAAAAAUUAAAUUAGACGGUUGGUUUUCAUUUCUUAUUUUUUUGUGGUACUCAUGAUUGAAUAUAAAUAAAUUUAAUACUAGUUUGAAUUGUUUAAAAAAUAAAACUUAAAAAGAAAAUGGUGUUUCAUAAUUGUAUAACUGUUUUGAGAAUUGUUAUAUGAUGUAAGUAUAUAAUCGUUUUAAAAUUUUUGAAAUAUGGUUUUUUUAGAAAAAAUAUGAAAUGUUUUUCAAUCAAAUCAUUUUUAUGGGUUAUUAUUAAAUAUAAUUGAGAUUAUGACAAGCACGUAUUUGAGAUUUUUUUUACAUUCAAAUUCUUAGAUAUAAUCAUGUUAGAAUUAUUUUUAAGAAUAGUUAUUAAUAAGAUAAAAAUCCCUAAAAUUUUCUAUUAUACUCAUUAAAAAAAAACUCCUUAUUGUAAGGUGAGUAUAUAAGAAAUUGAUUAUAAUUUUAAAAAAAAAAAUCUUCUAUUUUAAAGAGAACAACUUGGUUUUAGAACAAAUACUGAUAAAAACAAGUUUCAAUUGUUCAAGAAUCCAAGAUCACAAGUCAUUAUGCAGUUAGAAAGACAUUCCAACAUAAAAAUUAGUCACCCUACAAAUCUAUGCUCACAUGCCAUAUGUACUAACAAAGCAUUCUAGCAUAAAAAUUAAUCAGUUUAUAAAUUUAUUCUAAUCUAAACCUAAUUUUUUAGCAUACAAACCACACCCAAGUUUCUAAAUAUGUAUGUGGUCAUAAAAGCAAAUGCAAAUGCAAGGCAGAUGAUGACGCUCAUGUGAUAAUAAAGAUUGAUUUUUUUCAUAUAGGAAAAUGACAUUGUGACAUCAUGCAUCACACUUUGGAUAGUAAACUGCGUCUAUGAUGUCACUAACGACGUUUUUUACAAGUUUCAACCAAUGAAACAUCAUUAAUUUAAUUUUUUAUAAUCAUGUCAUGUGGUCAUAUAUAAAAGCAAGCAAAAUAUUAUUAUUGUAAUGAAAAUUGGUAUUCUUAUAUGAUAUAAUCCAAUGACUAAGUCAAAAAUUAAAUUAGACGGUUGGUUUUCAUUUCUUAUUUUUUUGUGGUACUCAUGAUUGAAUAUAAAUAAAUUUAAUACUAGUUUGAAUUGUUUAAAAAAUAAAACUUAAAAAAAAAAUGGUGUUUCAUAACUGUAUAACUGUUUUGAGAAUUGUUAUAUGAUGUAACUAUAUAAUCGUCUUAAAAUUUUUUAAAUAUGGUUUUUUUAGAAUAAAUAUGAAAUGUUUUUAAAUCAUUUUUAUGGGUUAUUAUUAAAUAUAGUUGAGAUUAUGACAAUUACGUAUUUGAGAUUUUUUUUUACAUCAGAUAUAAUCUUGUUAGAAUUAUUUUUAAGAAUAGUUAUUAAUAAGAUAAAAAUCCCUAAAAUUUUCUAUUAUACUAAUUAAAAAAAAAACUCCUUAUUGUAAGGUCAGUAAAUAAGAAAUUGAUUAUAAUUUUUUUUUUAAAAUCUUCUAUUUAAAAAAGAACAAUUUGGUUUUAGAACACUGAUAAAAACUAGUUUCAAUUGUUCAAGAAUCCAAGAUCACAAGUCAUAUGCAGUUAGAAAGACAUUCCAACAUAAAAAUUAGUCACCCUACAAAACUAAACUCACAUGCCAUAUGUACUAACAAAGCAUUCCAGCAUAAAAAUUAAUCAUAAGCAAUUCUGGGUAGUCUUAUUAGCCUAGGAUUCAUACAAAUUAUAGAGAAGCCAUAAACAGUAUCUCUGUGCUAUGAUGUGCUUAGUUCAUAUGUAGUAAUGAAUCUUUUUCAGUUAAAAUUCAGACACUUCCUUCCGAACGAAGAAUUGGCCGGAAGGCCCCCCAUCAGGCAGCAGAGCCAAUCUCACAGGGCUUUCAGCACCUUCUUCGAUAGUUAAGAUGCCACUGUUGUAGUUUAGAUCUGUUUUGACAAAGCCAGGACAGACACAGUUGAUGCAAAGAGUAGGAUACUUCCUGGCCAGAAUCCUUGUGUAGGCAUUCAAGGCUGCUUUUGAGACUGUAUAGGCAGAGAGAUUAGAGGGCCAGCUUUUAGCUUCUAAUAAUCCCUCUUUGAAAUCUUUUAGAAACUGGUUUAAGACCUCAUCCACCCUCUCUUCUGUAAGGUUUUCAGCAUCACUUAACACUGCUUUUGCCCAUUCAUUCUUAAUAUUCUGGAACAACACAACAAGAAAAGUGAUGUAAGCAAAAAUACGACUUGGGGAAAUGCUUCAUUGACUCCCACACAAACAAAAGCCAACAGCUCUUAAUCAUUCACAACAGAUAAUUUCCAGGAAAAUAAGCAAGUUAUGUGCAUUAUAUAAUAGUAUGCAUUACCUCAAUAUUAUUAAUUACACUUACCAAACAGCAUCAAUCAACCCUUUUCUUCAUAUGGUUUUCUUCUAAACAAAUCAAGAUGUGACAAGUAGAUCUUCCAUCACCAAUCUAAAGUUCAAUAAGCUUACAAAAAUAUUUUGCUCUGUUGACUCAAUCAAGGCAUCUUUUGAGUGGAGCUGUAAUGAAAAAUUCACAACGAAACUUGAUCCUUCCAAGUUUCAAACUGAAUCAUUUGGCUCCAAUCCAACUCUACUGAAUUUCAUCAAAUUGCCCAAUUACAAACAUGGUUGAACAUCUUAAGUAUAUAUCAACAUUGUAUUCUGAAUGAGGAUUAGUGUUAUUUUGCACCUGCAGCUUUCCCAUUGAGGAGGAAAC